AAAAGGUAUGCGCUAAUGGAGAUGGGUUACGACUCACCAAACCUUCCUAUAGGGAUGGUUACACAGCUUCACUUGAAAAGAUGUGAGGAAGCACUGUUGGAGCUUAUAGAGAAGGUUAAGUCAUCGAAGGAGAAGGAGGAGAGUAGACCAAAGGAUGAGGCUGUCUGGACAGAUAUUAGCCAAAGAUGGUUCACUAUGAUGCACUCCAGUUAAGCCUUUCCUUUUCAAAGAUUAUCAAGAGAUUGUAGAACAUGUAAGCCUAAUGGUAAUUUGCUUCAAAUCAUUCACUUGUGUUAAUCACUCUUAUCUUCUUAGGCUGCUGCUGCCCUGGAGGGUGUCAGGAACAUAACCGUGGCUUCUCACCUUAUAGGAGAUAUGAGUGGCUCUACCAUUGAUGAUCCCUUGUCAGAGACCUACAACAAAUUAGGUUGCUUAAUCUCUCUGUUGGAAAAGGAUUCCGAUGAUUAUGAUAUGAUUGUCAAGUAUCUAGAGAGAACUUAUGAACCAGUCAAAGUUGGUGACAUGGAAUAUGGGAUUUCUAUUGAGAACAUAUUUUCUAUGGAAACGAGUGCAUGCCCACCCUAUGAAGACAUAGUGAAGCUCCCAAACAAGGUUCUUUUAUGGUGUGGUAAGAAACACGACAUCUCAACUUUCUGGUGAACAAAGCGUAAUUAUAAUUAUCUUCUCAAUGUGGUGAUUAUGCUGUGAUGCAAGGAUCACAAAGCUCAAAUCUUUUGAGGCACUUGCACAAGGGGUUUUUACCAGCUAUAUGUUCACUACCAGUGCCAGGAUACAUGUUUAAUUAAUUGGUGAGAAUAUGCUACUUGGUAGGAGUCAAGUAUGAGAAGAAGGGAGCAGUGAUGGACACCGUAGAGUGAAAAGACCAGCAUUUUGUGAUGGUGAAAUUAAAGACCAUGUGUUUUGGCUGAAGCUCCUUCAAGUUUAGAAAAAAGUUUGGAACCAUUGGUCAGCAUUGAAUAUUUGUUCUCUUGUGUGAUUGGUAAAAUAUUUGUAUCACUUUUUUUUUAUAU